UGCAAGUCGAGCGGUAGAGAGAAGCUUGCUUCUCUUGAGAGCGGCGGACGGGUGAGUAAUGCCUAGGAAUCUGCCUGGUAGUGGGGGAUAACGUUCGGAAACGGACGCUAAUACCGCAUACGUCCUACGGGAGAAAGCAGGGGACCUUCGGGCCUUGCGCUAUCAGAUGAGCCUAGGUCGGAUUAGCUAGUUGGUGGGGUAAUGGCUCACCAAGGCGACGAUCCGUAACUGGUCUGAGAGGAUGAUCAGUCACACUGGGACUGAGACACGGUCCAGACUCCUACGGGAGGCAGCAGUGGGGAAUUUUGGACAAUGGGCGCAAGCCUGAUCCAGCCAUUCCGCGUGAGUGAAGAAGGCCUUCGGGUUGUAAAGCUCUUUCGCAAGGGAAGAAAACUUACCAUCGAAUAAAUGGUGAGGCUGACGGUACCUUGAUAAGAAGCACCGGCUAACUACGUGCCAGCAGCCGCGGUAAUACGUAGGGUGCGAGCGUUAAUCGGAAUUACUGGGCGUAAAGCGUGCGCAGGCGGUUUGGCAAGUCAGAUGUGAAAUCCCCGAGCUCAACUUGGGAACUGCGUUUGAAACUGCCAGACUAGAAUAUGUCAGAGGGGGGUAGAAUUCCACGUGUAGCAGUGAAAUGCGUAGAGAUGUGGAGGAAUACCAAUGGCGAA
rnacentral:rRNA from 1 species